rnacentral:misc_RNA from 1 species
GAAAUGCGAUAACUAAUGUGAAUUGCAGAAUUCAGUGAAUCUUCGAGUCUUUGAACGCACAUUGCACCCCCUGGUAUUCCGGGGGGCAUGCCUGUCCGAGCGUCAUUGCUGCCCUCAAGCCCGGCUUGUGUGUUGGGCCCUCGUCCCCCGGCUCCCGGGGGACGGGCCCGAAAGGCAGCGGCGGCACCUCGUCCGGUCCUCGAGCGUAUGGGGCUUCGUCUUCCGCUCCGUAGGCCCGGCCGGCGCCCGCCGACGCAUUUAUUUGCAACUUGUUUUUUUCCAGGUUGACCUCGGAUCAGGUAGGGAUACCCGCUGAACUUAAGC